GAUGAACGCUGGCGGCGUGCCUAAUACAUGCAAGUCGAGCGAACGGACGAGAAGCUUGCUUUUCUGAUGUUAGCGGCGGACGGGUGAGUAACACGUGGAUAACCUACCUAUAAGACUGGGAUAACUUCGGGAAACCGGAGCUAAUACCGGAUAAUAUUUUGAACCGCAUGGUUCAAAAGUGAAAGACGGUCUUGCUGUCACUUAUAGAUGGAUCCGCGCUGCAUUAGCUAGUUGGUAAGGUAACGGCUUACCAAGGCAACGAUGCAUAGCCGACCUGAGAGGGUGAUCGGCCACACUGGAACUGAGACACGGUCCAGACUCCUACGGGAGGCAGAAGUAGGGAAUCUUCCGCAAUGGGCGAAAGCCUGACGGAGCAACGCCGCGUGAGUGAUGAAGGUCUUCGGAUCGUAAAACUCUGUUAUUAGGGAAGAACAUAUGUGUAAGUAACUGUGCACAUCUUGACGGUACCUAAUCAGAAAGCCACGGCUAACUACGUG
rnacentral:rRNA from 1 species